GAGACUGAUAUGUUCUCAUCUUUUCUGUCUCUCCUUCUACCAUGUUAGGACACAGCUGCUCUUCACAGUGUAGUGCUGUCUUAGAAGUGCAUAUGUGAACUAGAAGCUAAUCGAACAAACUGCUGCAUGGUCUCGUCUUCUCAUUCUCCAAGCUGAUGGCAGAUGGCUAUGUACAAAGUUGAACAAAAAGACAUUGACUGUAAGAAAUUAAAAAGAAGUUACAUGAUACCACUGCUAGGCUAGCCAUUUCACAAAUAAAAAAAGCGGCAAAUGAUACUAUCAUUCUGAAGAUUUACCCGUUUCUUGCCUGCCAUCUCGUCUGCCCCCAUCGCUGGCUCUUACACGCAUUCCCAUCUCUGCUGAACGCCUUGGGUAAGUAACCUUGUGGCACCUGUGCUCCAUGUUGCCUCUUGCUACAGCCGAAGUGGGAACUCAG
rnacentral:lncRNA from 1 species